UUUUUAAAUAAAGACUAGUAUGAACGGCCGCACGAGGACCUAACUGUCUCCUUUGUCCGAUCAGUGAAACUGAUCCCCUCGUGCAGAAGCGAGGAUUUUAUCAUAAGACGAGAAGACCCUAUGGAGCUUUAAACUUUUAUUAACCAUUUUCUUUACCUCUCUAAGGGGUUAACAACUAAUUUAAUUUUCUUAAUAAAAGUUUUAGGUUGGGGCGACCAUGGAGAAAAAAAAAUCCUCCCUGAUGACUUCCUAACUAAGAGCCACAGCUCCAAGUAUUAAGACACUUAACUCCUAUUGACCCAUUUUAUGAUCAACGAACCAAGUUACCCUAGGGAUAACAGCGCAAUCCAUUUCAAGAGUCCCUAUCGAC
rnacentral:rRNA from 1 species